AUGAUAAAUAAGUAAACAAACCAACGACUUCCACACACAAAGACGUCACUCUCUAGGUGACUCCACCUGUUGUUCUGGAGGUGAAUUGCUCUGCAACACACGCACGCCUUUAGAACCAUGACUUGAAACGAGUGCGUCGACGCAACGACGCCGACGCAGACGCAGAAACGUGCGCCAGCCUUCAGUCCACCCGGGAAAGGGCACCGAAGCGACGGUGCACCUUCGUCGGACCUCGCGCUGUGAGGAAGUUACUAAACAUCCCUGAAGCCCAUGUACGAGGGACUGGCACAGCGCUACAGCCCCGCAGGCAUAGAAAAGACACAAUACCAGUGGGUAGACAGGGAUUGCUGUGUUGCACUCAAGGGGGCAGAGUCGUUUGCAGGAGAGCAUCUGAAAUGGGAUUCUUGGAGAACAACAGAUGCAAUUAUUGCCGAUGUCACUUCUGGUAACCUCCGAAACACAUGUGCUUCAAGAUCACAUAUAGAUGUAGAUCACACAAAUGCAAACAUUUAUAUCAAGCUAGACUUGUUUCACCGCAUGAGGCAGUUCCUCCGUGAGUGUGUGUCGGAGCAUCACGUCCUGUACAGUUCCUUUGCUCAGUUCCUCUGGACUGGGACAAGAACAACAGCAAGACAGAUCACACCCAGGCCCCGAAUCCACCUCCUCAGAGUGAUCCACUCGCUACGCAGUCGGAGGUUCCUCUGUCAUCCUCACUGGCACCAUCAAGGUUGUUCCAGUUUUCUCCAUGCCCCCCUGCCGAUUCUGCUGUGAAACCAGAUGUGAGUCCCAGAACAACCCCAGGGCCUCGGGGAGAGCCAGAAACUUCACGUCCGCCGUCGCUGGCAGUUAUCGACCAGCUGCUCAACAAACACCGUGAGCAGAAAGACAUGCUGAAGCUUGUGGACCAGGACUACGCUGCUCUAGUUCACAACUCCUGCACAAACCCCAACAGCAUGCUCCACCCGACAGCAAAACUACAUAUCGUACAAUAUGUAAAGCACCUCAGCAAAUUGUUGAACACCAGUUCCUCUUUAAACGUCAGUCCAGAAAAACUGCAAGAGAGGCUGAAACUCUGGUCGCAAGUGUCGGUUCUGUAAGACGGAACUGAAGCAGGGCCCAAACAGUCGUCACAUUCACACUGGGUUCCCUGGAGUUACAGGGAAGUACAUUUUCUGCCCCACUAAAAUCUUUUCACUAUGCAAAGACCAGGGCAUGGACAAGGAAAUGACAUGGAGAGAGUUCCAGGGGUCUGCUUUCUUUGACAAAUUAAAAUAGAGAUGGGAGGCUGAAAUGAGGAAAGAAGAGAAAUAAUAGGGGGAGUUCCAUCUAGCAUUUUACGUCCAAUUAUUUGUAAUAUUCAUGUUGUAAUUAGUUUAUAUAUUGGUUUCUUGCUUUUGUGACUUUGUACAUUAAAAUAUUAUCUUUUUAUUUAUUCUUUAUAUUUGGUUUUAUGGUUCAUUAGUUUACUUAUUUAGAUGUCUUUAUUUCUGUAACAUUUCUGUUUGUAUAGGACUAUACAAAUCUG
ensembl:lncRNA